rfam:Asian citrus Psyllid, Diaphorina citri - Florida Strain, whole genome shotgun sequence.
GCCUAGUUAGCUCAGUUGGUAGUGCGUCUGCCUUGUAAGCGCUAGGCCGUGGGUUCGAUUCCCGCCCGGGGCG